rnacentral:rRNA from 1 species
GACGAACGCUGGCGGCGUGCCUAAUACAUGCAAGUAGAACGCUGAAGGAGGAGCUUGCUUCUCUGGAUGAGUUGCGAACGGGUGAGUAACGCGUAGGUAACCUGCCUGGUAGCGGGGGAUAACUAUUGGAAACGAUAGCUAAUACCGCAUAAGAGUAGAUGUCGCAUGACAUUUGCUUAAAAGUUGCAAUUGCAUCACUACCAGAUGGACCUGCGUUGUAUUAGCUAGUUGGUGAGGUAACGGCUCACCAAGGCAACGAUACAUAGCCGACCUGAGAGGGUGAUCGGCCCCCCUGGGACUGAGACACGGCCCAGACUCCUACGGGAGGCAGCAGGAGGGAAUCUUCGGCAAUGGACGGAAGUCUGACCGAGCAACGCCGCGGGAGGGAAGAAGGGUCUCGGAUCGGAAAGCUCGGUUGUAAGAGAAGAACGAGUGUGAGAGUGGAAAGUUCACACUGUGACGGUAUCUAACCAGAAAGGGACGGCUAACUACGUG